rnacentral:rRNA from 1 species
GUGUAGGGCUAUACACCUUAUACACCCAACAGGGUGCUACGGGUGUAGCUUGGGUGGAUAGAUUGAUUGAUCGGACCCGUGCGGCGCCCCUAAUCCCGAGCGGCGGUCGGUACCGGCGCGGCGGCACCGGCCGGAUAUGGGCAGCAGGUGGAGGAGGUACCGGUUGGAUAACUGAAGCAGCUGGAGGAGAUACCGGCGUGCUCGCAGUAGAAGGUAAGGGCGUAACCCGCGACGUCGUGGCGGCAGAUAGAGGCAGCCGACGGCCGGCGGGGUCUCGGCGGUACAUGGAGGCGUCGGCGUUGAGAAGGGUGGUGGUGUAUUAAGAGAAGAGAGUCGUAAGGACGACGGCCGCGGUGACCUUUCCUGACGCUCUUCUCCGGAUGGGGUCCGUAGUUGGUUCUUAGAUCUUCCUUUUCAAAGUUCUUCUCUUAGACGUUAACUGUUCUCUUCCUUCUAAGGACGACAAAGGGGGAGAAAGUUAGGUAUGUUUCGAGCUCCAAAAUUGACUUAAAAUACGUACAUACGCGACGACGAUACACACACUACAAUUCAAGGACGUACUAAUUGACGAUCUAGGAAAACUCUCUGAUUCUUAUCACCAACAUGACAGGGACGAGAGACAAAGAGACGUACUGUUUAUUAGAUAAGAGACAAAGACAUACUUGAUAUUAAUUCACAGACAUACCUGAUCCACCCGUAACAUGACAAAUUUAUAACGGAGAGAUAAGCAGAACGAUGACCUCUCAAUUAAUAUGCCCGUCAAUUAAUAUCACAACAAACAACCACGACGUUCAUGUUGCCGUGAUCUCGUGAUGAUCCGGUUCCGUACAGCACGUACGGCACGUACGGCCGACAUGCACGCGUAAUACGUGUGCUCGACAAUUUCGAGGGUUCCUUGGUCACUACCAUCGAGUGGUGGAGUUCUACUGUUACGCUUGCAUAAAGUUGUCCGUGCGGGUGGGGUGCCCUCUUUUACCGUCUGUGUCCUCUGCUCGACUUCGACGACCCGUACACCCGCUCGGGCAUGCACCAGUCCCACGUCGAGCGCGAGGCGGAGUUCCCGCACUCGAUGCUCAUGCAGCUCCUCCUGGAGCGGUUGUUCUCGCUCGAGAAGGAGGCGAGGUUGGGCCACGCGUUCUGCCAGGGCCACGAGUAGGUGUUGCCGUUCGGGCAGACGCUCAGGGUCCAGUAGGACGUCAUGUAGCUGCUCCGGAAGCGGCCGCAGCCGGGCAGGGAGGAGGGGCGGCUGGGGAUGCUCGCGCGGCAGCGCGCGAAGACCCGGCGGAUGCAGCUUCUGUUCGACGACCGCGGCACCCCCUUCCACAAGUCCCACUGCUGGCUGCUCCUCUCCCGCCUCACCUGCUCCGUCUGCCACCGCCGGCACCCAGUAGACCUCCUUCCGGACUCCCUCACGAGGUUCCCCUUCCCGAAGAAGCCGCCGCUGACACAGCCCAUGCAGCUGCAGGACGAGCCAUCGUACCACGGCACCCACGCGCGGUGGCUCUCCGAGAGGCGGCUGUUCAAUUAGCUGCGGCCGUCCCGGGGCGACGACCGCCGUACCUACCUCGCGUAAUCGCUCGAGCUGCGCCGGUUCCGCCAGAAGGUCCUGCAGCUGUCCCACCAACUCAUGCGGCCCCCUUAUGUCCGGGCCGAAAGGCGGCGCCGACGUUCGUGAGUUAUUUCGCCGUACCGCCGGACCACUCGUCGACUACGUUCCUCUUUUAUCGGUUCACACCUCAAUCGACCUUAAUGAUUUUACCGGUGCAAAGACAAAGAAAAAGAGCUUAUUACCGCUGUAUUAUACGUUCAUACACUAUAAUGGUCAAAUUUUUGAACACACCAACAGCACUGUCGAGGAGGAGACAAAAAAUUCCCUGUAAAUGUAAAGACAGGAACCGAAACAGUGCAAUCACCCCAAACAGAAAACCAAAAAUCCAACGAGUUAAAACGGUAACUUUCUAAUAUACAAUUAUACUGAUCGUGUAUACAGGCACGCAACGUUGCCGUCUUUAUUGUUUUAAUACAAGUUAAAAACACUACUAACAUAGACGUCUUGUGCAAAUCAAGUACGUUUGAAACUAGAAUUGGUUCUAGGUACCUUUGUAGCGAUUUUGUAAAAAUCACACCAUGAUUACUAUGUGGAGAUUAAUUAACAAGGACAGAACAGUUCGUAGAGUAGCUUUAAAAUUUUUUUAUAAAAGGAA